rnacentral:rRNA from 1 species
CGUUUUUUGUAUUGUAUAAAAAAUAUAACCUGCCCAAUGAUAUUUGAAUGGCCGCGGUAUUUUGACCGUGCGAAGGUAGCAUAAUCAUUAGUCUAUUAAUUGUGGACUGGUAUGAAUGGUUGGAUAAAGGAAAUCUGUUUCUUACAUAAAAAUGAAUUUUAGGUUUUUGUGAAGACGCUAAAAUAAAAGUAUAAGACGAGAAGACCCUAUUAAGCUUUACAAUUUAAAAGUUUAUUUGAUUUUUACUUUUCAAUUUGUUUUGUUGGGGCGAUAGUAAGAUGUUUAACUUUUAUUUUUUGGUAGUAUGUAUAGAUAUCUCAGUUAAAAAUGAUCCGUAAUAUACGAUUAUAAGAACAAGUUACUAUAGGGAUAACAGCGUAAUCUUAUUGGAGAGUUCUUAUUGAUAAUAAGGAUUGCGACCUCGAUGUUGAAUUAGGAUACCUUUAAGGUGUAGCCGUUUUAUAAGGUAGUCUGUUCGACUAUUAAAUUCCUACA